rnacentral:rRNA from 1 species
GCCGAGCGGUAUUUGUUCUUCGGRCAGAGAGAGCGGCGUACGGGUGCGGAACACGUGUGCAACCUACCUUUAUCAGGGGGAUAGCCUUUCGAAAGGAAGAUUAAUACCCCAUAAUAUAUUGAUUGGCAUCAGUUAAUAUUGAAAACUCCGGUGGAUAGAGAUGGGCACGCGCAAGAUUAGAUAGUUGGUAGGGUAACGGCCUACCAAGUCAGUGAUCUUUAGGGGGCCUGAGAGGGUGAUCCCCCACACUGGUACUGAGACACGGACCAGACUCCUACGGGAGGCAGCAGUGAGGAAUAUUGGACAAUGGGUGAGAGCCUGAUCCAGCCAUCCCGCGUGAAGGACGACGGCCCUAUGGGUUGUAAACUUCUUUUGUAUAGGGAUAAACCUUUCCACGUGUGGAAAGCUGAAGGUACUAUACGAAUAAGCACCGGCUAACUCCGUGCCAGCAGCCGCGGUAAUACGGAGGGUGCAAGCGUUAUCCGGAUUUAUUGGGUUUAAAGGGUCCGUAGGCGGAUCUGUAAGUCAGUGGUGAAAUCUCAUAGCUUAACUAUGAAACUGCCAUUGAUACUGCAGGUCUUGAGUAAAGUAGAAGUGGCUGGAAUAAGUAGUGUAGCGGUGAAAUGCAUAGAUAUUACUUAGAACACCAAUUGCGAAGGCAGGUCACUAUGUUUUAACUGACGCUGAUGGACGAAAGCGUGGGGAGCGAACAGGAUUAGAUACCCUGGUAGUCCACGCCGUAAACGAUGCUAACUCGUUUUUGGGCUUUAGGGUUCAGAGACUAAGCGAAGUGAUAAGUUAGCCACCUGGGGAGUACGUUCGCAAGAAUGAAACUCAAAGGAAUUGACGGGGGCCCGCACAAGCGGUGGAUUAUGUGGUUUAAUUCGAUGAUACGCGAGGAACCUUACCAAGGCUUAAAUGGGAAUUGACAGGUUUAGAAAUAGACUUUUCUUCGGACAAUUUUCAAGGUGCUGCAUGGUUGUCGUCAGCUCGUGCCGUGAGGUGUUAGGUUAAGUCCUGCAACGAGCGCAACCCCUGUCACUAGUUGCCAUCAUUCAGUUGGGGACUCUAGUGAGACUGCCUACGCAAGUAGAGAGGAAGGUGGGGAUGACGUCAAAUCAUCACGGCCCUUACGCCUUGGGCCACACACGUAAUACAAUGGCCAGUACAGAGGGCAGCUACCAGGCGACUGGAUGCGAAUCUCGAAAGCUGGUCUCAGUUCGGAUUGGAGUCUGCAACUCGACUCUAUGAAGCUGGAAUCGCUAGUAAUCGCAUAUCAGCCAUGAUGCGGUGAAUACGUUCCCGGGCCUUGUACACACCGCCCGUCAAGCCAUGGAAGUUUGGGGUACCUGAAGUCGGUGACCGUAACA